UUGCCAAGUCCUCGUUGUCCUGAGACCAAUAUUUUUUUAUGAUGACCCUGGGACAACAACUGCCUCAGCCAAUCAAAGUUUAUGACGUCAUCACUAUGUGCGCAGUGCAGAGUCCGCCAAAAUAACAGUAACGCCCCUCUUACAAAUUCAAAGAAAAGAAAAACUGUCCUGCAUCUGCAAGCACCGUGAUACCAGAGAAGAUAGCAAGUAAAAAGGGCACCAAGUGACCAAGAGCACACAAUGGAAGAUAAGGCAUUAAGGUGUCUCCAAAACAAGAGCCCAAUAUUCACAUUAGGAAGUGUGGGGCCAUAUGACAUUCAAGUGAACAGUUUGAACACUUUAAUGAGGGAUGAGCAAGUUUCUGACGAGGUCAUGAAUUCCAUAUGUGAUAUCCUUAGCAAGG